GUAUAAACUAUAUAGCGGCCAUUUUGUCGAUGUUACAAGAUCGAUGUGACGUUUUUUGUGAUCUAACGCGUAAUAAUUGAUUAUAUGUAUUAAUUUUAUUCGUACCUAUUCAUAAUAUCGUAAAUAAUUGAUAAUUAUUAAUAACAAAUGUUAUAUUAGUAGUUAAAGAAAAUCUAAGAACCAUGUCACGAUACGGUGAUUGUAAAAUAUAUGUUGGAGAUCUCGGGAACAAUGCAAGUAAACCAGAAUUGGAAGAUGCUUUCUCAUACUACGGACCACUAAGAAAUGUUUGGGUGGCGAGAAAUCCGCCGGGCUUUGCUUUUGUCGAAUUUGAAGAUCCUCGUGAUGCGGAAGAUGCCAUACGCGGUUUAGACGGCCGGACUAUAUGUGGGCGCCGGGCACGCGUAGAGUUAUCUAAUGGCGGUCGCGGAUAUAGCGGACGCGGCCCACCACCACGCUCGCGUUUACCUCCUCGCCCUUACGAUGACCGAUGCUAUGAUUGCGGAGAUCGUGGACAUUAUGCCAGAGACUGCAGCCGUCGCCGCAGGCGCAGGUUAUCAUUGGCCUGUGCGCCGAGAUCAAACUCUUCAGUGUCUGCACUUCUUAUUGUCUGCGCUACGUAGCUUUCACUUCGCUGCGUGUUCUGCGCUAAUGUUGGCUACUACAGUUACUUCGCUCUGCGAACCUCGUACCAACCUACGUGCACGCUUCACUUGAGAACUACAUUGAGCAUAGUGUACUUACUGCGCGUCGCGCCACGACUUUUGUAAUCACUGCGUGCACUCACCGAUCCAGGUCUCGUCGCCGUACACGUUCGCGUUCCCCGAGGUCUGGUUCCCGCUCACGCAGCCGCUCUCGCUCCCGCAGCCGCUCUCGUUCCAAGGGAAGGUCCAUGUCAAGAU